rnacentral:rRNA from 1 species
UAGGGAAUCUUCCACAAUGGGCGCAAGCCUGAUGGAGCAACGCCGCGUGAGUGAAGAAGGUCUUCGGAUCGUAAAACUCUGUUGUUAGAGAAGAACAUGCAGGAGAGUAACUGUUCUUGUAUUGACGGUAUCUAACCAGAAAGCCACGGCUAACUACGCGUCAG